GACGAACGCUGGCGGCGUGCCUAAUACAUGCAAGUUGAGCGCUGAAGGUUGGUACUUGUACCAACUGGAUGAGCAGCGAACGGGUGAGUAACGCGUGGGGAAUCUGCCUUUGAGCGGGGGACAACAUUUGGAAACGAAUGCUAAUACCGCAUAAAAACUUUAAACACAAGUUUUAAGUUUGAAAGAUGCAAUUGCAUCACUCAAAGAUGAUCCCGCGUUGUAUUAGCUAGUUGGUGAGGUAAAGGCUCACCAAGGCGAUGAUACAUAGCCGACCUGAGAGGGUGAUCGGCCACAUUGGGACUGGGACACGGCCCAAACUCCUACGGGAGGCAGAAGUAGGGAAUCUUCGGCAAUGGACGAAAGUCUGACCGAGCAACGCGGCGUGAGUGAAGAAGGUUUUCGGAUCGUAAAACUCUGUUGGUAGAGAAGAACGUUGGUGAGAGUGGAAAGCUCAUCAAGUGACGGUAACUACCCAGAAAGGGACGGCUAACUACGUG
rnacentral:rRNA from 1 species